rnacentral:rRNA from 1 species
AGCGAACGCUGGCGGCAGGCCUAACACAUGCAAGUCGAACGAACUCUUCGGAGUUAGUGGCGGACGGGUGAGCAACACGUGGGAACGUGCCUUUAGGUUCGGAAUAACUCAGGGAAACUUGUGCUAAUACCGAAUGUGCCCUUCGGGGGAAAGAUUUAUCGCCUUUAGAGCGGCCCGCGUCUGAUUAGCUAGUUGGUGAGGUAAAGGUUCACUAAGGCGACGAUCAGUAGCUGGUCUGAGAGGAUGAUCAGCCACAUUGGGACUGAGACACGGCCCAAACUCCUACGGGAGGCAGCAGUGGGGAAUCUUGCGCAAUGGGCGAAAGCCUGACGCAGCCAUGCCGCGUGAAUGAUGAAGGUCUUAGGAUUGUAAGAUUCUUUCACCGGGGACGAUAAUGACGGUACCCGGAGAAGAAGCCCCGGCUAACUUCGUGCCAGCAGCCGCCGUAAAAC